GACGAACGCUGGCGGCGUGCUUAACACAUGCAAGUCGAACGGAAAGGCCCUGCUUGCAGGGUACUCGAGUGGCGAACGGGUGAGUAACACGUGGGUGAUCUGCCCUGCACUUCGGGAUAAGCCUGGGAAACUGGGUCUAAUACCGGAUAGGAGCCAUUUUUAGUGUGAUGGUUGGAAAGUUUUUUCGGUGUAGGAUGAGCUCGCGGCCUAUCAGCUUGUUGGUGGGGUAAUGGCCUACCAAGGCGGCGACGGGUAGCCGGCCUGGGAGGGUGGACGGCCACAUUGGGACUGAGAUACGGCCCAGACUCCUACGGGAGGCAGCAGUGGGGAAUAUUGCACAAUGGGCGCAAGCCUGAUGCAGCGACGCCGCGUGGGGGAUGACGGCCUUCGGGUUGUAAACUCCUUUCGCUAGGGACGAAGCUUUUUGUGACGGUACCUAGAUAAGAAGCACCGGCUAACUACGUG
rnacentral:rRNA from 1 species